UCAGAGAUAUUUUUUAUUACUAUAGGGAAUGUCCUUGCAUGUUUACACUCUUUAUUAUUAUAUAAUUGUUUUUUUCUAGUAUUCUUUGUAUUUCUUUCUACUUCUUGAGUUUUAAAUUCUUGGAUUAUUUCAGUAUUAUGCAAUGUGGGAACAUAGAAGCUUGGCUUGACAAUGCUACUGACAAUUUAUAUGUCAGGGUGUAACUGCCUGGCAUAUUCUUUGCUGUUUUGCAUUCCUUUGCAAAGUAUGCAAUUAAUGCAAUAAUAUUAUAAUGAAUACAAUAAAUUUAAAUAAUAAAUAAAAACAAGUAAGUAAAAUUUGUAUGAUGCUCAAGGAAAGUUUAGACACCUCUUAGAAUGUCACCUUCUCAUAGGAUCUUCCCAUUAAAAGCAGUCACCUACUUAC
rnacentral:lncRNA from 1 species